rfam:Caenorhabditis brenneri strain PB2801 C_brenneri-6.0.1_Cont4864.1, whole genome shotgun sequence.
CGUUCGGUCCGGAGUCAAUGGGUUACCUUCAGAAACCCUCCCAUUGACACCAACUUGACCGGUGC